AAAGCGUGCGCAGGCGGUUUUGUAAGUCUGUCGUGAAAUCCCCGGGCUCAACCUGGGAAUGGCGAUGGAGACUGCAAGGCUAGAAUCUGGCAGAGGGGGGUAGAAUUCCACGUGUAGCAGUGAAAUGCGUAGAUAUGUGGAGGAACACCGAUGGCGAAGGCAGCCCCCUGGGCUAAGAUUGACGCUCAUGCACGAAAGCGUGGGGAGCAAACAGGAUUAGAUACCCUUGU
rnacentral:rRNA from 1 species